rnacentral:rRNA from 1 species
AGCGAACGCUGGCGGCAGGCCUAACACAUGCAAGUCGAACGGACCCUUCGGGGUUAGUGGCGGACGGGUGAGUAACACGUGGGAACGUGCCUUUAGGUUCGGAAUAGCUCCUGGAAACGGGUGGUAAUGCCGAAUGUGCCCUUCGGGGGAAAGAUUUAUCGCCUUUAGAGCGGCCCGCGUCUGAUUAGCUAGUUGGUGAGGUAAUGGCUCACCAAGGCGACGAUCAGUAGCUGGUCUGAGAGGAUGACCAGCCACAUUGUGACUGAGACACGGCCCAAACUCCUACGGGAGGCAGCAGUGGGGAAUCUUGCGCAAUGGGCGAAAGCCUGACGUAGCCAUGCCGCGUGGAUGAUGAAGGUCUUAGGAUUGUAAAAUCCUUUCACCGGUGAAGAUAAUGACUGUAGCCGGAGAAGAAGCCCCGGCUAACUUCGUGCCAGCCGCCGCCGUAAGAC